rnacentral:rRNA from 1 species
GAUGAACGCUGGCGGCGUGCCUAAUACAUGCAAGUCGAGCGAACGGACGAGAAGCUUGCUUCUCUGAUGUUAGCGGCGGACGGGUGAGUAACACGUGGAUAACCUACCUAUAAGACUGGGAUAACUUCGGGAAACCGGAGCUAAUACCGGAUAAUAUUUUGAACCGCAUGGUUCAAAAGUAAAAGACGGUCUUGCUGUCACUUAUAGAUGGAUCCGCGCUGCAUUAGCUAGUUGGUAAGGUAACGGCUUACCAAGGCAACGAUGCAUAGCCGACCUGAGAGGGUGAUCGGCCACACGGGAACUGAGACACGGUCCAGACACCUACGGGAGGCAGCAGUAGGGAAUCUUACGCAAUGGGCGAAAGCCUGACGGAGCAACGCCGCGUGAGUGAUGAAGGUCUUCGGAUGGGAAAACUCUGUUAGUAGGGAAGAACAUAUGUGUAAGUAACUGGGCACAUCUUGACGGUACCGAAUCAGAAAGCCACGGCUAACUACGUG